GACGAACGCUGGCGGCGUGCCUAAUACAUGCAAGUCGAACGCAGUGGGGACGGGUGAGUAACACGUGGGUAACCUCCCAUCAGAGGGGAUAACACUUUGACACAGGCGUUAAACCGAUACUGAUGGAUGGACCCGCGGUGCAUUAGCAAGUUGGGGAGGUAACGGCUUACCAAGGCCACGAUGCAUAGCGGACAGAAGAGGAUGAGCGGCAACACUGGAACUGAGACACGGCCCAGACUCCUACGGGAGGAAGAAGGCGGGAAUCUUGGGCAAUGGACGAAAGUCUGACCGAGCCACGCCGCGUGGGUGAAGAAGGUUUUCGGAUCGUAAAACUCUGUUGUUAGAGAAGCGGUAUCUAACCAGAAAGCACCGGCUAACUCCGUGCCAGCAGCCGCGGUAAUUC
rnacentral:rRNA from 1 species